GUUUCUUUACAAACCCCAAAGAAGCCUGGCCACGCCAUGACCCCCUGUAGCUGCCCAAGUGUUUCCCGAAAUCAGCCACUGUGCAGGAGUGGGGGAGGAAACGUCAAUCUGUGUCUCUUUGUUUUGGAGAGUUUUCAGCACUGAGGAAAAAAAAAAAAAAAAAACCCUUCUUUGCAUUAUUUCAAACGCCUUAUAGAUGUUCCUGCAACCUGGCUGAGACAGGGCUCUAAAGAAAGCAUUUCCUUUUCACAAUCAUCUUCCCCACCCUGUGUUGACAUCUCCCUAUUGCUUAAAACUUCUCCAACCUGAAAUCAGUAAAAUGUAUUUAUUGUCUUCUCUGAUAGCUCUUUGCAAGAAAUCACACAAAAUGGUUAAAGCUGUACUGUAGGCUGCUGCAAACCAUGCUCAAUGGCAGUAGUUCUCAUGGUAUUGUAAUCCAGUAAUUAAUACAGACAGCAGGUGAGGAAAAUCAGUACGCUUCAGUCAAAUGUCUGCACUCUAUAUUCCAAGUCCUACUCAAUUGAACUCAAUAAAAUACUGCUUUGUUCAUUAAAAAAAAAAAAAGAUCAGUGGUUCUUAAGUUAUAAUGUACAAAAGAAUCACUUUGAGAUAUUGGUGGUGGCACUGAUGUAACCGCAAGAUCACUGGAAACAGCAUAGAUGUCCAUCAGUAGGGAAUGGGUGCAAACAAGCAAAAAGCAGAAUUAGACCUAAGAAUAAUAACAACAAGGUGAUGGUUGCCACAGGGGAGAGUGUGGGGGGAUGGGCAAAUGGGUGAAGGGGAAUGGAAGAUACAGGGUUCCAGUUUUAGAAUGAAAAAGUCACAGAAAUAAAAGGCACAGCAUCAGGAAUAUAACCAAGAAUAUUAUAAUAACGAUGUAUGAUGACAAAUGGUAGCUACACUUGUAAUGAACAUAGCCUAAUGUAUAAACUUGCCAAAUCACUAUGUUGUACACCUGAAACUGAUGUAACAAUGUAUGUCACCUAUGCUCAAAUA